rnacentral:rRNA from 3 species
CUUCCGUAGGUGAACCUGCGGAGGGAUCAUUG